GAUGAACGCUAGCGGCAGGCCUAACACAUGCAAGUCGAGGGGCAACACGGGUAGCAAUACUUGGUGGCGACCGGCGCAAGGGUGAGUAACGCGUAUGCAACCUACCUUAUACAGGGGGAUAGCUCAGGGAAACCUGAAUUAAUACCGCAUAAAGCAGGGGUACCGCAUGGUACUAUUUGCUAAAGAUUUAUUGGUAUAAGAUGGGCAUGCGUGCCAUUAGCUAGUUGGUAGGGUAACGGCCUACCAAGGCUACGAUGGCUAGGGGGUCUGAGAGGAUGAUCCCCCA
rnacentral:rRNA from 1 species